AUUGAAAUUUCAGGCGGUACUUCACAGGAUCCCUGCACAAGGUCCCUGGGCUGAAUAAAUGUAGUUUCAGUCACUGGAACAUGACCACUCUGCUUAGGCUACAUACGGGCACUGACCGUCUCCAGGCAGCCGGGUGAAAUUGGCCCUCAAUGCUGUCUAUCUGAAGAGGAUACUGUUGCCAGCACCUCCUCAGGCUGAUACUUCUUCCCUUCCGUGGAGGCCAGGGACUGUCACUUUAGAGUGUGGCCUGCUCUCACUCCUUCUUCAGAGCUCUUCCUGUGGGGUUGGCAAAGCCUCUGAGAACAACACCUGAUGAGACACCUUCUCUGCCCCUCACUCUGCCUACAGAGGAACCACAGGGAAAAAGAUCUGGAAUGCCAAGUCGAGCCUAAAACUAUGCUUGUCUCUCGUACACAGCAUCCACGCUGUCCAGGUUGGCAGGCAAACCCCUCCAGAAGCGAUGGAUCUGAGCUGGCCUCAACGACACCAGGUGCUUCUCACGUGUCAGACGCCAAAAAUACUUCCCUGACAAGAAGUUUGACA